UACGUAGGGGGCAAGCGUUGUCCGGAUUUAUUGGGCGUAAAGAGCGUGUAGGCGGCUUGGUAGGUCCGUUGUGAAAACUCGAGGCUCAACCUCGAGACGUCGGUGGAAACCGUUUGGCUAGAGUCCGGAAGAGGAGAGUGGAAUUCCCGGUGUAGCGGUGAAAUGCGCAGAUAUCGGGAAGAACACCCGUGGCGAAGGCGGCUCUCUGGGACGGUACUGACGCUGAGACGCGAAAGCGUGGGGAGCGAACAGG
rnacentral:rRNA from 1 species